GGUGAGAUGGCUCAGUGGGUAAGAGCACCCGACUGCUCCUCCGAAGGUCCAGAGUUCAAAUCCCAGCAACCA
rnacentral:tRNA from 1 species